CUCCUGUGAAGUCCUUGUGUUGGACCCCUUUCUUUUUCUUCACAUUUUUUUCGUUGGGGUUAUCGUUUACAGCGGUCCGGCACGUUUACUUUGUAUGCAUCCCUUUAAUUUUCCUCGGAUUUUAUUUCAUUGGGCUUAUCGUUUAUGUUGGUCCAGCACGCUCACUUUGUAGGCUUAACUGCCCCAGCCAAAAAUACAAGCCGCUGAUCUCGUUUUGGGUGCUAAAGCUUCGAGGCAACCUCGAAAUCCGCAGAAGCCCCUCGGGUUGCAUGUCUCCGGUGUUAAAGUGCAUUGUUGCAUUCGAAUCUUUUAUAAGAAUUUAAUUCGCUUAUGCUGAUGGGUACGAUCUAACCAAUACUAAUGCACCGAA
rnacentral:rRNA from 1 species